AGCUUUGCGCAGUGGCAGUAUCGUAGCCAAUGAGGUUUAUCCGAGGCGCGAUUAUUGUUAAUUGAAAACUUUUUUUUAAAAGUAUAUGUACAGGGGCGCCAGGGUAGCUCAGUGUCCAACUCUUGAUUUUGGCUCAGGUCA
rnacentral:snRNA from 1 species